UACGGGGGGGGCAAGCGUUGUUCGGAAUUCCUGGGCGUAAAGGGCUCGUAGGCGGCCAACUAAGUCAGACGUGAAAUCCCUCGGCUUAACCGGGGAACUGCGUCUGAUACUGGAUGGCUUGAGAUUGGGAGAGGGAUGCGGAAUUCCAGGUGUAGCGGUGAAAUGCGUAGAUAUCUGGAGGAACACCGGUGGCGAAGGCGGGUCUCUGGGCAGUAACUGACGCUGAGGAGCGAAAGCGUGGGGAACGAACAGG
rnacentral:rRNA from 1 species